rnacentral:rRNA from 1 species
CCUACGGGAGGCAGCAGUGGGGAAUAUUGCGCAAUGGGGGAAACCCUGACGCAGCAACGCCGCGUGAGUGAGGAAGGACUUCGGUCUGUAAAGCUCUGUUAAUGUGGAAAAAUGGUAGUUGGUCUAAUAGGCCGAUUAUUUGAUGGUACACAUAGAGGAAGCACCGGCUAACUUCGUGCCAGCAGCCGCGGUAAUACGAAGGGUGCAAGCGUUGUUCGGAUUUAUUGGGCGUAAAGCGCGCGUAGGCGGACCUGUAAGUCAGAUGUGAAAUCUCGGGGCUCAACCUCGAAACUGCGUCUGAAACUGCAGGUCUAGAAUCUCGGAGGGGGAAGGGGAAUUUCGCAUGUAGGGGUAAAAUCCGUAGAUAUGCGAAGGAACACCAGAGGCGAAGGCGCCUUCCUGGACGAGUAUUGACGCUGAGGCGCGAAAGCGUGGGGAUCAAACAGGAUUAGAUACCCUGGUAGUCCACGCUGUAAACUAUGAACACUAGGUAUUGGAGGAUUUGACCCCUUCAGUGCCGUAGCUAACGCGUUAAGUGUUCCGCCUGGGAAGUACGGUCGCAAGCAAAACUCAAAUGAAUUGACCGGNUGAGCGNGCGAGACGACGACGAGGAGAGG